rnacentral:rRNA from 1 species
GGGUGCGUAACGCGUAUACAAUCUGCCUUUCACAUAGGGAUAGCCCGAAGAAAUUUGGAUUAAUACCUAAUGGUAUAUAGAUGUGGCAUCACAUUUAUAUUAAAGCUGAGGCGGUGAAAGAUGAGUAUGCGUUCUAUUAGCUAGUUGGAGAGGUAACGGCUCCCCAAGGCUACGAUAGAUAGGGGUUCUGAGAGGGAUAUCCCCCACACUGGUACUGAGAUACGGACCAG